GAGUAAUGUCUGGGAAACUGCCUGAUGGAGGGGGAUAACUACUGGAAACGGUGGCUAAUACCGCAUAACGUCGCAAGACCAAAGAGGGGGACCUUCGGGCCUCUUGCCAUCAGAUGUGCCCAGAUGGGAUUAGCUAGUUGGUGAGGUAACGGCUCACCAAGGCGACGAUCCCUAGCUGGUCUGAGAGGAUGACCAGCCACACUGGAACUGAGACACGGUCCAGACUCCUACGGGAGGCAGCAGUGGGGAAUAUUGCACAAUGGGCGCAAGCCUGAUGCAGCCAUGCCGCGUGUAUGAAGAAGGCCUUCGGGUUGUAAAGUACUUUCAGCGGGGAGGAAGGUGUUGCGGUUAAUAACCGCAGCA
rnacentral:rRNA from 1 species